rnacentral:rRNA from 1 species
GACGAACGCUGGCGGCGUGCUUAACACAUGCAAGUCGAACGGAAAGGCCCUGCUUUUGUGGGGUGCUCGAGUGGCGAACGGGGGAGUAACACGUGAGUAACCUGCCCUUGACUUUGGGAUAACUUCAGGAAACUGGGGCUAAUACCGGAUAGGAGCUCCUGCUGCAUGGGGGGGGUUGGAAAGUUUCGGCGGUGGGGGAUGGACUCGAGGCUUAUCAGCUUGUUGGUGGGGUAGUGGCUUACCAAGGCUUUGACGGGUAGCCGGCCUGAGAGGGUGACCGGCCACAUUGGGACUGAGAUACGGCCCAGACUCCUACGGGAGGCAGCAGUGGGGAAUAUUGCACAAUGGGCGGAAGCCUGAUGCAGCAACGCCGCGUGCGGGAUGACGGCCUUCGGGUUGUAAACCGCUUUCGCCUGUGACGAAGCGUGAGUGACGGUAAUGGGUAAAGAAGCACCGGCUAACUACGUG